GCCUGGAUAGCUCCUUCGGUAGAGCAUCAUCAGACUUUUAAUGUGAGGGUCCAGGGUUCAAGUUCCUGUUUGGGCG
rfam:Homo sapiens chromosome 3, GRCh38 reference primary assembly.